UACGUAGGGGGCUAGCGUUGUCCGGAAUCAUUGGGCGUAAAGCGCGCGUAGGCGGCCAGAUAAGUCCGGUGUGAAAGUCACAGGCUCCAACCUGUGAAUGCCGCUGGAAACUGUCUGGCUAGAGUCCGGAAGGGGCGAGUGGAAUUCCCGGUGUAGCGGUGAAAUGCGCAGAUAUCGGGAGGAACACCAGCGGCGAAGGCG
rnacentral:rRNA from 1 species